rnacentral:rRNA from 1 species
GACGAACCGUGCAAACGUUAUUCGGAAUUACUGGGCUUAAAGGGUGCGUAGGCGGCGCAGCAAGUUGGGUGUGAAAGCCCUCGGCUCAACCGAGGAAUUGCGCCCAAAACUGCUGCACUAGAGGAAGACAGAGGUACGCGGAACUUAGGGUGGAGCGGUGAAAUGCGCAGAUAUCCGGAGGAACACCGGUGGCGAAGGCGGCUUCCUGGACCGACACUGACGCUGAGGCGCGAAAGCUAGGGGAGCAAACGGG